rnacentral:ncRNA from 1 species
UGACAGGGACGGCCCUGUCACCCUCCCGGGCACUGGGGACAGCCCUG